CCUACGGGAGGCAGCAGUGGGGAAUAUUGCACAAUGGGGGGAACCCUGAUGCAGCGAUGCCGCGUGGAGGAAGAAGGUUUUCGGAUUGUAAACUCCUUUUAUCAGGGACGAUAAUGACGGUACCUGAAGAAAAAGCUCCGGCUAACUACGUGCCAGCAGCCGCGGUAAUACGUAGGGAGCGAGCGUUGUCCGGAAUUACUGGGUGUAAAGGGAGCGUAGGCGGGACGGCAAGUCAGAUGUGAAAACUGAGGGCUCAACCUUCAGACUGCAUUUGAAACUGCUGUUCUUGAGUGAAGUAGAGGUAAGCGGAAUUCCUAGUGUAGCGGUGAAAUGCGUAGAUAUAUGGAAGAACACCAGUGGCGAAGGCGGCUCUCUGGUCUGUAACUGACGCUGAGGUUCGAAAGCGUGGGUAGCAAACAGGAUUAGAUACCCGAGUAGUC
rnacentral:rRNA from 1 species